rnacentral:rRNA from 1 species
GUGGGGAAUAUUGGGCAAUGGGCGAAAGCCUGACCCAGCAACGCCGCGUGAAGGAAGAAGGCUUUCGGGUUGUAAACUUCUUUUGUCAGGGACGAAAAAAAUGACGGUACCUGACGAAUAAGCCACGGCUAACUACGUGCCAGCAGCCGCGGUAAUACGUAGGUGGCAAGCGUUAUCCGGAUUUACUGGGUGUAAAGGGCGUGUAGGCGGGAAAGCAAGUCAGAUGUGAAAACUAUGGGCUCAACCCAUAGCCUGCAUUUGAAACUGUUUUUCUUGAGUACUGGAGAGGCAGAUGGAAUUCCUAGUGUAGCGGUGAAAUGCGUAGAUAUUAGGAGGAACACCAGUGGCGAAGGCGGCCUGCUGGACAUUAACUGACGCUGAUGCGCGAAAGCGUGGGGAGCAAACAGGAUUAGAAACCCCGGUAGUCC